rnacentral:rRNA from 1 species
UGAUGGGGUGCAGAGCAUUGACCGGCGGGUUGCAGAUGGUGAUGAGCGCGACGCCGUCGGCGCCCACCUCCAUGGUGACGCGGAUCGGCCCCGCCAUCGGCCGCGAGACCCCCGGGGGUCGGUGGAUCGGGGAGAGGGUGGGGGAGGGGAGGGAGAGGGGGAGAGGGGGUGGAGGAAGCUGCCGGCAACGAGUAGCUUCCACGCCUUAUUUUAUGGAGCUCGGGAGGGAGGGAAGACGACUAGAGCGGAGAGUGGAGGGGACUGACCGGAGCCGCCGUGUUCAGAUCGGUCGGCCGGUCGGUC